rnacentral:rRNA from 1 species
AGCAGCCGCGGUAAUUCCAGCUCCAAUAGCGUAUAUUAAAGUUGUUGCAGUUAAAAAGCUCGUAGUUGAAUUUCGGGGUUAGUAGGUUGGUCAUGCCUCUGGUAUGUACUGGUCUCACUGAUUCCUCCUUCCUGAUGAACCUUAAUCCCAUUAAUUUGGUGUUUUGGGGAAUUUGGACUGUUACUUUGAAAAAAUUAGAGUGUUUAAAGCAAGCUAACGCUUGAAUACAUUAGCAUGGAAUAAUGAAAUAGGACGUUCGAUCCUAUUUUGUUGGUUUCUAGGAUUGACGUAAUGAUUAAUAGGGAUAGUUGGGGGCAUUAGUAUUCAAUUGUCAGAGGUGAAAUUCUUGGAUUUAUUGAAGACUAGCUACUGCGAAAGCAUUUGCCAAGGAUGUUUUCAUUAAUCAAGAACGAAAGUUAGGGGAUCGAAGACGAUCAGAUACCGUCGUAGUCUUAACCAUAAACUAUGCCGACUAGGGAUCGGAUGAUGUUAAUUUUUUAAUGACUCAUUCGGCGCCUUA